ACCGAAAUAGCUCAGUUGGGAGAGCGUUAGGUUAUGAUUUGAAAAGUCCCUGGUUCGAUCCUGGGUUCUGCCA
rnacentral:tRNA from 1 species